rnacentral:misc_RNA from 1 species
CGCAUCUUGCGCUCCUUGGUAUUCCGAGGAGCAUACCUGUUUGAGUGUCAUGAAUAUCUCAACCCUACCAGGUCAUUCGAUCUGUGAAGGGCUUGGACUUGGGAGUUGUAGGCCGUGCAUGAAUGGCUUACUCUUCUUAAAUAUAUUAGCUGGAUCACUCUCUUACACUUACCAGCCGGUGUGAUAAAUAUCUACGCCGCAUGGUCUUGUAUACAAUGCAGUGUUACCCUGUUCAUUCAGUGCUGUAACCUCAUUGGAGUGUCCGCUUAUAAUUGUCUAUCAACUAGUCGCGACACCUUCACUGGAAGGCCGAUUUAGUGGACAUUAUUAUGACAUCUGACCUCAAAUCAGGUAGGACUACCCGCUGAACUUAA